rnacentral:rRNA from 1 species
CCUACGGGUGGCAGCAGUGGGGAAUAUUGGACAAAGGGGGCAACCCUGAUCCAGCCAUGCCGCGUGUGUGAAGAAGGCCCUCGGGUUGUAAAGCACUUUCAGUGAGGAAGAACGCCUGGUGGUUAAUACCCAUCAGGAAAGACAUCACUCACAGAAGAAGCACCGGCUAACUCCGUGCCAGCAGCCGCGGUAAUACGGAGGGUGCGAGCGUUAAUCGGAAUUACUGGGCGUAAAGCGCGCGUAGGUGGCUUGAUAAGCCGGUUGUGAAAGCCCCGGGCUCAACCUGGGAACGGCAUCCGGAACUGUCAAGCUAGAGUGCAGGAGAGGAAGGUAGAAUUCCCGGUGUAGCGGUGAAAUGCGUAGAGAUCGGGAGGAAUACCAGUGGCGAAGGCGGCCUUCUGGACUGACACUGACACUGAGGUGCGAAAGCGUGGGUAGCAAACAGGAUUAGAUACCCGUGUAGUC